GCCGAGCCCAGUAACGCAGGCUUGUAACCCGAGUGGGGGCAAGGAUGUGGUGGGAUGUUGUGUUCAGCUCUAUUGGGUUGGGUCCGGUGAUUUCCAGACUUGGCUUGCCCGUUCCAAGUCAGGCAGCUUCGCAGUGCGGUCCUGGCGUAGGCCUGAGUCACAUGCGAUUCUAAAGCGGAGGACACCGCGUCAGGCUGGCUUCACAGAGCAGCGAUAACCUCCCUCUCUUGACGGUGGAAGCAUAACAGGCCGAUGCACGCCGCCCCCACCAUACCCAUCGGGCUUACACUGACCAAACCACCACUUUU
rnacentral:SRP_RNA from 1 species